rnacentral:tRNA from 1 species
GGGGGCAUAGCUCAGUUGGGAGAGCAGCAGACUGAAGUCCUUAACGAGUUUAUUCUGAAGGUCCCGCGUUCAAUCCGCGGUGCCCCCA